CAAAGACCACUAGAGUUUCAUAGAAUAUCAAUAGCUUAAUAUUUCAAAAAGAUAAUGCAGAAUAUAUAUAAUCUAAUAGACUCUAAACUAAUAUGUCCAAGUCUACUUCCUUGGUUCAACUUAGUUAAGAGUUCAUUCCAAGAUUAGCUGGCAUUGGUUUUCAUCAUCUUGUUGCAAUUGAAGGAAGUCAAAUUCGCCAAAAGAUGAAUCGGAACCAGAAGAGGAGCUAUCACUAUCUAAGCCAUCCACGAUAUUCAUAAUUUCAACAAAUCCAUGAGAAGAGGCGAAAUCUCUUUUGGAAUCAACCAGUUUUGUUGCAAGGUUUUUUCUGAACCGCUCCUUGUGAACUCUUCUGCCGAUUAUCUGCAAUAACACGUUAAUUAGUCUUUUUUAUUUUCAUUGUUGCUUGUGAGUUGCACUCAUCUUCUGUAGAAAAAUAUAGGUGAUAAU
rnacentral:lncRNA from 1 species